rnacentral:rRNA from 1 species
GACGUAGGGCGCGAACGUUGUCCGGAUUUAUUGGGCGUAAAGAGCUCGUAGGCGGCUUGUCGCGUCGACUGUGAAAUCCCGCGGCUCAACUGCGGGUCUGCAGUCGAUACGGGCAGGCUAGAGUUCGGUAGGGGAGACUGGAAUUCCUGGUGUAGCGGUGAAAUGCGCAGAUAUCAGGAGGAACACCGAUGGCGAAGGCAGGUCUCUGGGCCGAUACUGACGCUGAGGAGCGAAAGCGUGGGGAGCGAACAGG